GAGUCUUCUGAGAAAGUACUACAUGUUCUUAAUAUCUGGGCCAUCUCUCCAGCCCUUUAAAUGGUGAUUUUGACAUUUUCUUAGCAUCUCCUUAGAGAACAAAUGAAAGUAGGGGUGAAAUAGCCCUUAGUCCUCCCUUCCCUUCUCUAGACCUCAUUCUCUUCCCCAAGGAGCCAGGAAUUCACAACUGUGAACUCUGUGGUUGCAACCUGGUUUUGCCUUGUUUUAGGUGUGGACUGCAGUACCAUUGUGGAUGUACUGACCAAUCGCAGCAGAGAGCAAAGACAGCUCAUUUCUCGAGCCUUCCAAGAGCGCACCAAACAGGUGCGACCACUGAAAUCCCAGGAGCUGUGGACAGGGCGGGGACUUGAGAUCCAGCCACAGCCUGCUCCUCCCUCCUGGCUAAUCAGGGACUUGGUGGCCAAACCUGGGAUAAAAAAAAAAAAAAAAAAAACAA
rnacentral:lncRNA from 1 species